GGGGGUCCUUGUGUCUACAUACCUAGUGCUCUCUGACAUUCCUCUCCGUGUAGGUGCUGGGAACACAUGACCUGGUGGGCGUUGCUGGCUUGCUCCAGAGACUUGAGACUGGAAGCUUCUCAAGGACAAGGACCAAGACCUUCUGCCCUGAAUCAUGAUUGUUGCAAACCAAGCCUGCGCUGGCUGGUGCUGAGCAAAGACUCACAGCCCGGAAGACAAAGGCAGGGACCCACAGCACCGAGCUUAUGCCCGUGGCCAACUGAAUCCCUGUGGACCGGCCCCGCCUGUCUGCCUUCCUCACAUCCCUCCACC
rnacentral:lncRNA from 1 species